CUGACUCACUACUUUUUAUGUAUUUUUAAUAUUUUUAAAAGAUAUAAUUAAUUUAAUAAUCAUGAUGUUCUAACGACAACAUCACAGUAUAUUAAUUUUUGAUACCAUUGUCGAGAAUUAAACUCGGGUCGCUCGCAUGACAAGAGGGAAUACUCACCAUUAUAUGAUAAUUAAUUGAUAUCUCAUAAUGUUGUCGUUAGGAUAUCAUGAU
rnacentral:lncRNA from 1 species